UUUGACUUCCUAAUUCUAUCAACAUUUUAGCAAUAGAACACAACAGAAAGAAUCUAAAAGAAAGACACAAUAGGAAGUGCCCUAUCACAGUCAUCAAAAGAAAGGGCCAGAUCUGCAUCAUAAAUAAAAGUCCACUGCACAUAGUUCAUAAUUUGUUUACACGCGUAUAUGCUCUACACUUUAAGCAUACAUUUUGCUUACGUUCCAUGAACGAUCAUGUAGCAACAACUAUCACAGAAAUUUCAUUUGAUGACUGUGAUAAUAUAUACACUUCUCCACAGGUACAAUGCCAAUGCUGUAUAAUAUAUGCUCCCUCCGUCUCAAAAUUCUUGUCUUAGAUUUGUCCAAAUACGGAUGUAUCAAGUCACGUUUUAGUGUUAGGUACAUCCGUAUCUAGACAAAUCUAAGACAAGAAUUUUGGGACGGAGGGAGUACACUGCUCGGAAAUAGCAUUAUGGAAGAUCUUUUCGUUCGUAGACUUACACCACCAAUCUUUCUUCUAAACAUCACCGCGUGAGGUCAGAUAGCCCCCGUGUUCUUCAUUAAAUGCCACGCAAUCGUCAUGCGUGUUCAGGAAAAGAAAGAGCUCACACAGUAGACAGGCCUCUCAGACCUCCUCCUGGAGGGCGAGCAAUUUUGCCUCCACAGACACGGAUAGAAUCGCAGAAAUCUCUCUUCUCGAGAAACUUCUUGAUAUCUUCUAGUAUGAGUGGUGCAUUUUGGAUUAUCAUCUUCUUGCACU
rnacentral:lncRNA from 1 species